rnacentral:lncRNA from 1 species
GUCAAUAAGUAAAUGACAGUCAGUGUUAUUAGUCACAGAGAAAAUGAAAAUCAAAGCCAACAAGUGUUAGUAAGAAUGAAGCAGGAAGAUGAACCCUUAUACAUGUUGGCCCAUAUAUAAAUUGUUCCUGCCAUUAUGGAACUUAAUAUUCAGGCUCAUUCAAAACUGAAAAUAGAUUUUCAUGUGCUCCAGAUAUAUAACUUCCUGGUUUAUGUUGAAAAUAUUCAAAUCAGCUUAUUAUAGAUGUUACUUGCUUCUCGUGGUCAUAGCUUCACUA